UCCUGGGAACAUCCAAAAUGGACCAAAAGGAUGCUUUUCCCAGUCACGUGACGUGGAUCAGCGCUUCUUCUUCUCUCCCCUCUCGAUCUUCGCCUUCUCCCAAAAGAGAGUCGGAAAUAUUAAGGUCAGCUACAUUGUCGUGGCUGCAGCUAAAGGACCCCCAGAACUCUACGGACCGACGCUGAACGUCACGGUUGCCUAGAGACGGACACUACGCAGCCGCGAUAAAUGACGGAGUUUCAAAGAAACUGUCGACUUCUUCAUAAGGACCUGGGGUGAAAACCGACCCACAGUUUGCAGCCAUUUUCAGAUCCUUUCUUCCUCUACUUCAUGACCGCCUCUUCUUCCGCUCCUGUGGCUCUGCGGUCGUUGCCACGGCGAUCCUGGGCUCUCUGCCCCAUCAUGCUGUGGGUCUGUUUCAUUAUGAAGGAUUAUUUUAAAAAUCUUCACCUCGACAUCUAGAAGGUUCUACAAAUUUAAAAGAUUCAAUAAUAAAUCAAUUAAGUGGGUGGAAUCAUGAUGCUCUGUGUGUGUGCAGGCGUGGGUGGGUGUGUGUGUGAGAGAGAGGAUUAGCUUGACUGGUGUGUCGAUGUGAGCUGAAGGAGUCAUCCUCAUGUAUUGUAAGAUAAUAUUCAUCAUUUAUUAUUCAUAAAUCAAAUUUUUUUGCAUCACCGUUGAAUUAAAUUUAGCGGGGGUUUUUAAUCCUACUAAACCACUUUAUAAAUUAUAUACUUUUAAAAUAAUUUUUCAUAUUUCUCAAGGUUGUUUCCUCUUUAGAAUAAUGAUGGGAUUUUAAUCACAUUUCUCUUUCGGAUUAAACAACUGUUAAAUAAUGAAAAACAGUACAUACACACACAUAGGAAAUGAAAUGUAAAAUUAAUUUAGAAUAUUUUAAAAUUUCCAGUUUGUUUCUCAACAUUUAUCUCCAGCUGACCUUUUCGUCUUCUUGCUAUCAGCUGAUUAUUAUAUAUUUCAUUUUAUCAAACCCUACCGAUCGGUUUGGAGUGUAAUCAUAAUUCAUAAUUCCCCACCACAGAUUUCAGUCUUAAUCCUCGUCCAAUCUCUGCAGAUAUUCACAAACUGAUGCUGAUUAUUGGAUGUUUAAAUAAUAAUAAUAAUUUCCCAACAUUUUAACUUAUAACUCUGACCCGACUUGUUUCUGUUUAUAAAGAACUGAUGGAUUAAUUGAUUUCAUUGGUACAAUGGUAUUUAUAUCUAUUCAAUAACUUAUCGAUUGGUUUGGUUUCAGAUCAAAUCCAUUUGGCUACUUAGUCCAGACUUUUUUUUCUUAACUUUAGGAUGAAAUUUAAACGAUAAAACCUUAAAAAACAGACAAAAAAUGAGCGCUCCUGUAGUUACUGAGUGAGAGAAUCUAAAAAUCAAAAACUCCAUCGUUUAUUUUAAUAAAGUCUGAUUGUGACGCCUUUAUUUCACUGCUGGUUUUGGUGCUGAACAAACAGAAUAAAAGUAUCAAAAAUCUACAAACGGCAUUUAUUAUGGGAUAAAUUAAUACUAAUCUAACAGUUACAGAUUUUAACAAAAUGCAGAUUUAACUUUUCGAAAAGUCUCCUUCAGGUUCUCCAUUCUGAGAAAAAUAUUUGAAAAAGUUUGGAAUUGUUAAAUAUAACGCAGCUAAAACUGAACAAAAUAGAUAUUGAGCUUUAAUAAAUUUCGUUUUACGACUUUAAGUCCCUUUUUAUAUAAAUUAAAGCAGAAUUUAAACUUUCAUCAGAGCAAAUGCAGGUCACUAAUAAUUCUAGUUAACGAUGUGAGUCAUAUUUUCAUGUUGCUUCAUGUUACAUUGUGCUGUUACACAGUGGCGCAAAAGGUGGCUAUGCAGUGUAUGCAACGCAUAGGGGCGCUGCACUAGAGGGGGCGCAAAAACGAUGUGGGGAAUAUUUUUUAUA